UACGAAGGGGGCUAGCGUUGCUCGGAAUUACUGGGCGCAAAGCGCACGUAGGCGGAUUGUUAAGUCGGGGGUGAAAUCCUGGAGCUCAACUCCAGAACUGCCUUCGAUACUGGCGAUCUCGAGUUCGGGAGAGGUGAGUGGAACUGCGAGUGUAGAGGUGAAAUUCGUAGAUAUUCGCAAGAACACCAGUGGCGAAGGCGGCUCACUGGCCCGAUACCGACGCUGAGGUGCGAAAGCGUGGGGAGCAAACAGG
rnacentral:rRNA from 1 species